rnacentral:piRNA from 1 species
UAUCCCUAGAAUCAAUUCUCUCAGCAUCA